AACGAACGCUGGCGGCAUGCCUAACACAUGCAAGUCGAACGAGACCUUCGGGUCUAGUGGCGCACGGGUGCGUAACGCGUGGGAACCUGCCCUUAGGUUCGGAAUAACUCCCCGAAAGGGGUGCUAAUACCGGAUAAUGUCUUCGGACCAAAGAUUUAUCGACUUUGGAUGGGCCCGCGUUGGAUUAGCUAGUUGGUAGGGUAAAAGCCUACCAAGGCGACGAUCCAUAGCUGGUCUGAGAGGAUGAUCAGCCACACUGGGACUGAGACACGGCCCAGACUCCUACGGGAGGCAGCAGUGGGGAAUAUUGGACAAUGGGCGAAAGCCUGAUCCAGCAAUGCCGCGUGAGUGAUGAAGGCCUUAGGGUUGUAAAGCGCUUUUACCCGGGAUGAUAAUGACAGUACCGGGAGAAUAAGCGCCGGCUAACUCCGUG
rnacentral:rRNA from 1 species